rnacentral:lncRNA from 1 species
GAAAGGGUACAAAGGACAGGGCAUGACUAGAGGUUUGGGACAUAGCAUCUAACAAGUUUUGACUGCAGACAGAAGACAUUUUCCCCCCUUUCUUUCAGAAAAGGAUGAGAAAUCUUUUUUAUGCAUUUGCCAUGGGAAACACUCAGCUCAGCACAUUCCACAAGCUAAAAGGAGGCAAACCAACACGAUGGCAGAACUCUCCUACCAGCCCACAGGCUCUCAACAAACCCCUGCACUGCCAGGACAGAAAAGCCUCUGCUGACCAUGUCUGGUGAUGUCAGGGGAGAACGGCACAGGAAUCUCAGCCUCCCUCUCCCAACAGUCAGAAGUUCCUCUGUCAGCCUGGCUCAAGUUACAUCACCUCUCCUUUGCCAGACUGGGGAUUUGCUCUUCCUGCCCUUCCCAGCUUCCUAUUUUAAUUUCCUUUUAUUCUCUGUUCACCACUGACUCUGCAGACAAUAAACAGAGACAACCGAGAAGCAGUGAAAACACUCUAUGGAGUUACCUGCUAAUGGCAGAUCACCCGAUCACCAUCGGGAAAUCAGAGGUUGACAACUGGACAAAGGACGAAGAGGCAGCAUUGUUAUCCACAGGACUUGUUAUCUCAAGUCCCCCAACUCUAACUGCCAAGCCUCUAGGCUGUGACCCCACAGGGAGGGGAGCUUUUGCCCCAGGGGCUCCUGGCAGCCUGAAGACAUUCAAAAGUCCUGUUUUGCAGGGCCGGGCACCUGUUGUUCUAAGAGGAAAGGAAGUCUGUGGUUUAUGUUUUUAUCAGAAUUCAGGGAUUUUUUUUUUCUAGUGAGGUCAGCCUUGUGCUUUCAGAAGCAAUAAUGGGAGUAAACCAAGCUUGGCAAUGAUUUAAACCUGAUCCCCACCACCCCGCCUGCACAGACCACUGCACACCCAAGCAGGAGCUCCCAUUCACAGCUCCCAUCCUCUCCAGUUACAUGGCAAAGGGCUCCCAACUCCCAGACGCUGAGCCAGCCAGCAUUCACAGAAAGCCACAGUGAAUGGUGCAGGACAGGAGAGAGGACAUCCUGACAUCACAGCAGACUGAAGACAAGGCUAGAAAGAAGAGGGGCUUAAGGGGACUCUGCUGUUUCGUGAGGAAGCUCUCAGGUUGCAAGGUCAACCAUUUAUACUUGAUCGACACACAGAAACACAUCAUAGCAGACCAGAAAGACAAUGACCUAGGUAGACGUACCCGCUAUCUCCAGAGCAUUGCACCAACUGUCAGGGUUGCCUCCAUUUUUUGUAAAACUCACCACCAACACCAAGCAUUUCGUUACAUUUCAGAUGGCUUGCUGGUGAUUGAAAGACAGAAAAAAAGCCCACAGGUUCAUUGACAAGUGAAUAGAUAAACAAGACUCGGUAUAUCCGUCCACGCAGUGGGUUAAUACUUGGUCAUAAGCAAGAGAUGAAUGCUGAAAGAUGCUACAACACAGAUGGAUGUACCUUGAAACAUCACGCCACAUGGAAGAAGCCGAUCACAAAGACCCUGUGUCUACCUGGGAUAAGUCUAGAACACAGAGAAAAGGUCGGGGGCAGGAGAAACGGGAUGUGACUACCAAUGGGCUGAUGACAAUGUCAUAAAUCUAGAGGGUAGUAAUGGCGGCACAACCUUUCGAAAACCACUUAGCUGACCUCAUGAAAAGCAUGGAUUUUUGUGGUAUGCAAAUCUCAAUAAAUUUAUUGUUUAAAAACUGA